rnacentral:tRNA from 1 species
GGAAAUAUAGUCUAAUUAAAAGAUAUGAAAUUUUCAUUUUUAAGAUAUAAUAUUAAUUAUUUUUU